rnacentral:rRNA from 1 species
UACGAAGGGGGCUAGCGUUGCUCGGAAUGACUGGGCGUAAAGGGCGCGUAGGCGGCUUAUACAGUCAGGCGUGAAAUUCCUGGGCUCAACCUGGGGACUGCGUCUGAUACGUAUGGGCUUGAGUGUGAAAGAGGGUCGUGGAAUUUCCAGUGUAGAGGUGAAAUUCGUAGAUAUUGGAAAGAACACCGGUGGCGAAGGCGGCGACCUGGUUCAUUACUGACGCUGAGGCGCGAAAGCGUGGGGAGCAAACAGGGAUUAGAUACCCUGGUAGUCCACGCUGUAAACGAUGUGUGCUGGAUGUUGGGGUGCUUAGCACUUCAGUGUCGUAGCUAACGCGGUAAGCACACCGCCUGGGGAGUACGGCCGCAAGGUUGAAACUCA